rnacentral:tRNA from 2 species
GCCGCCUUAGCUCAGUCGGCAGAGCGACGCACUCGUAAUGCGUAGGUCAUCGGUUCGAUUCCGAUAGGCGGCUC